CUGAAGUAUGAAACAACGCGAUAUUCUUACAAUUAAAUUGCGAGAUAAACUGCUUUCAGUUUUAUAUGACUAACUGAGAAUCGUAGUGGUGCAGGUAAAAGUUUAAAGAAUAUUAAUGAAUCGUGCUGCUCAUUUGCUAAACGUGUCAUUCAUUUAGGUUCGUAAUUAAUCGCUACGCAACCACGGACGAGAUACAGUGACUCGCGAAAAAUUUUGACGCUCCUGGAAACUUUUUAUCCUGGAAACUAUUAUCCUGAUUGUAUUCGUCAAAUUUGUAACGGAUCUGAAAAGUGUUUAUAAAAGUUAGAAGAUAUUUAUUGAAAGCAUACGCUUCGCGACGAUCAUCUAGAUGUUCGAACGUUCAGUUGUUUGCUAUAUCAAUAAACGACAAUAUGUAGUGAGAUAGUCUUUAGCGCUAAUUAUAUAAUAACUGCUAUUCAUGCUGUAUGACAACAAAUGUUUUGUAGCUUCUAUAUACAUCUUCGAAUUGGUUUCAAACUUUACUAUUGUAAUCGCGAUAGUCAUACUCCUUUACAGUGCCAAUGAAAUUUCAAAAUGUUUCGUACAAUACGCAUAAUGUAUGCAUACAAUUGUUAUACAUUUUAUAUAUUUUUCCAAGCCACUGUAUUUCGCGGUAUAACGUUUGAGAGUUAACCUCUCCUUUUAUCACGUCAACUUGUCACUUUCUCCUACAAAUUGGUACUACUUGCUACAACGUCGAGCCUGGUUUCAACCGAUAGUUUCUUCUCCAAAGUGACUUGAAAAUCGCACUCUUCCUGCAUUUUGCCACGUCCUUAUGAACUUAGUACUCACGAUACAGAAGCAAAGAUCCGACGUAAGUACUUAGUUUCUUAAACGAAAGUUUUCGCUUAAGUAUAUUUCAACAUGACUCCUCGAACAUACAAGAAACUCUCCUCAACAGUAUUCGUUGCCUAGGUGUCGUUUGAUCGAUAUUUGUUGCGACGUUCUACGCAUUUCAGAUUGUUUCAUUCUAAUUGAAUGUCUCUUUAUCGAUACAGUAAUCUGUACAUCUACUUUCGUUCGCUUCCUUCGUCAACUUUCAUACUCCGAUAAAUUAAUUAAAUUAAUUUAUUUUCUUCUGUUCGGAUUAUUCCUAUUCGGACAAGGGAGCCCUACUGCACUACACUGGGCUGGUUUUCUUCAGUGUGUCACUAAGUGUCAUCGUCGAGGCCUCAGAAUAUCGCGUAUUACCUUCAAAUGAUUUGUUGCAAAAUAGGAAUGAAAGGACGAAUAGUCACAUGCUACUUUGUUACAAUACUGGUAAACGUAUCAAUUAACAAACCAAAACAAAAGAUUGUAGGAUUGCAAAAGGCCACGGUUUAUCCAUAUUGUUUAUAGGGUAUCUCGAUCUCCUAUCUAUCUUCCUCGCAUAUCUCGCCUUGCUUUUGUUGCGUCUAGAUGCCCCCCUCGAUGGCACUUGUUUUUCCACUCGGUUGCAAGCCGGCGAUGAUGCUCGAGAAUGAAUGCUAUCAACAUAAUUCAACGGAAAAGGCUGAACGCCGAUUCGCAGGCGUCGCGACGAAUCGGGAUCGAUGGAAACGGGAAAUCGGCUCGGCCGCGAGGCUUUCAGCAAGUCGACCCGCAUCCUCUUUUUUCCCUCAAGGCGAUUCCCGGUCGUCUACUUACCAAGACACGUCUUUCUACGCAGCUAGCCUAAGUCCGAGUGGCCGGCGCGUCGCCUCUUUCCAUCCUGUUCAUAGGGAUUUCGCUUUUUACUCGAUCGACAGACUCGUCAUUUGUAGCAAUUUCUCUUCUUCUCGGGAUUCGAGCACUUCCUUGUAAGUGUAACACACCCUCGAUCGCUUCUCUAUCCAUUUCAAAUGGAUACAUUCUGAUUCAUAAGUAGACUACGGAUUUUUUACGCGUCGAUGGUAAAUUCGAAGAUGUAUAAAUGUAUAGAAUACAUGUAAUACGCGACAAUACGUAAAAUGUCCGAAAUAGAAUAUUUAUUAGAGUAUUUAGUAGAUAAAAUAAGGUCUAUCUAUUUAGGUUCUAUUCUUUCUUUCGUCUAUUCAUAACUUAUUGCAUGAUUGUUAAUUUUAAUCAUAACGUUUAUGGAAAUAAUAAUAAUAAGUUUCUUGAAGCGUGCUAUGUAAUUUAGUUCUGUUUAUGAUAAGAAUGUUUAGGUAAGUAUCAAUUUUAUUUUAUUAACCGCUUCGAUUAUUUAUUCUUAUUUUAAACACCUUAUGGAAAGAUAUCGUCUGAUUCAACAGCCUUCAAAAUGAGGGUUAGAAAACCUACUUUACUAAGCGUCCUAAAAACUAGUGAACACAUAGGAAGAUUAUUAAAUACGUACAAAAGUUUUCGUUUAUUUCUUCUCGUGGAGUAUACCAUGACACGAGUGAAAUCACAAAAAUCCUCUGAUUUUUAUUUUGAAUUCUCUUGGUUGCACCAGAUUUUCUCAUCAGAGAUUCGUCACUCCCUUUUAUUUAUUCCUUGGCGUUGUUAUUCUAGUCAUUAUUACGUUACAUCGAAUCACAAACAUAAAUUUGUUUUUCAAGAGUCUACCGAAUUAAUAUAUACAAUUUAAAAGAAAAAAGAAAUUUUAUUCCGUGGGAUAAGAAGAAAAUAUUUAAUUGAAUAAUCGAUUACUUCCCUGGAUAUUUUCCAAGAGAGGUAAGGCAGCAGUGUUCUGUGUGUCAUCGUAUACAUACGAUGCAUACCAGAUUUCGUUCUUGCGGCGGCAGGUAGAUAACUCGCCACAGGGUCGACGGAAACGGGAAAUUGCACCACAGCUCCAUAUUCGAAGCAUCCCUCCUUUUUCUCACAGUCGCGCCGUCCUGCGCAGUUUUCUUCGUAGCCUGCCGUCGCUAUCUCGAAACAUGUGGAAAUUAGAUACUCGGCGUUAGAUUGUAUGCAAUCGAACCAGUGACAUCUAUUCGGCAGCUUUCUGGGCAACAAUCGAAGUCCUUAUACAUUUUGAUAUCCUUACAAUGAUAAAAACAACUCCAUAAAUGGAACGUCGCGUCGUCUCAAUCGUCUGGAUCAUCGUAAUAAGUACGAGUUAUGUUUAAAAGACGAAGUUGGUAUUCUGAUUAGGUUUAUUGACAUUUUAAGCAGAAACGAAAUUCAUCACAAAAGAUGUUUUGUCAUCGUAUUAGUUUAUAAUAGAACUUCCGUGGUUUUUUAAAACAUUCUGUAUUAUAGCAAAGUCAUUCCUUUUUCUUUAUUGUUACAAGCUCGUUUAUUCCCUUGCGAUAUUUUCUGAGGAAAGAAAGCUUAAUUUUUGAGAACACGACAGUAGCCACAGUUGGAGCGAGUGUUAUAUUAUUCCAAAUAUAUCUUUUACAAAGACCAACUUUUUCAAAAGUCAUUAGGAACAUGUCGAUUACUAUAUAUAAUGUAUAAAAUUUGCCAUUUUGUCAUCCAGAAAAAAAAGUAGGACAACUUUUCAAACAAUUUACUACCGUCAAGUCAACUUUGAAUAUCGUUAUAUUAUUUUUGAAAUUCCACGUAUUCGGAAGUGGACAGAGCUUUUCUAAAUAGUCGAAAUACGAAUAAUCGGAGCCAUAAAAUUUCACAUUUUUUUAUGAAAGAAUUGACAGAAUUGAGAAUAUUCGCGUUGCGUUCAAAAAGUCAACGAUUGCUGAUUAGGAUACCAUAUUGUGGUUUCCUAUCCGAAAACACGCAUGACUAGAUUCCGAUAACCGUUAAUGACGGUGCAUUUAUGAUAGAUAGCGUUUCUGCUACGUCUUUGACGUUUGCUGACACAAAAAGUUGAGAAGAUUACAAGGGAGUUACACGUGUACUUGACGUCGCGUAAUAGGACGCUUUUGCUUCUACCGAUAACAGUGCCACUUUCAUAUCAAGUUUUCGAUGAAUCGAUAUUGCGCUAUCUAUCGUCGACUAUAAUUUAAAAAAUCGAAUAGUACUCGCAUAGUGAUCUUGGAAGAAAAAUGACACUUUCGAUUGAUUCGUCGAAUUGAUGUGACUUCAUUUGUAUUUUAACAGAUGGCAUUCGACAUCCGUGUCGCUGAUUAUAAUUCAAACUUGAUAAAGUCGUGUUCUAUAGCUGAAUCUGGAUUAUUAUUAAAAGACCGAUUAAUAGAACGAUCGAUCAAUGAAUUUCCAGGAACGAUUGCUCGUAAGAAAAGCUCAAGUAGAAAAGGUGCUUCGAUUCUUCGGUAAGUAAGUAAAAUACACAUUAUACGUAAUGUUCUUAUAUUUUGCAGUUGACACAGCGUUACGAUAGCAAAUAGAUAACACUCGUUUUACUCUCAUCGAAAGGAAUUUUUCGUAUACAGUGUCGAUAGUGACGACUAUAUGUUAACCUGGACUGAUUCACCGCAGUUUGAGAAAAUAGGUCAAAUGAAUUAUUUUUAGACGUAUCGUUCCAUUAGUCUCGAAAGGACUAACUAGCUGUCAAAGAAUCGUAAGAUAAACGGUUAAGCAGGCACCAGAAGUAUCAUGGAUGAAAUGGUAACAUAUUUCGAGCGUGGACAAAGAUUUUCGUUCCGGUAAAGCGAUUCAAUGACUGGAAAAUAAUUUUUAGUCACGUCCAUUAGCUUUCAUGAGCCGGCGCGUGACCAUGACCUCGACGAUCAAGCGUCUAGCACUUCUAAACCGAGUUCACCUAGCUUUCAAUCACUUUUUUCCGAUGCUGUAUCGGUUCUGGCGCAACGUCUAUGUUUUAGUAACAACCAGGAAACUCUUCAUAUCCAUAGAAGCCGGAAAAACCGAUCCUAUAUUGCUUUUCUUUCCUUAGAAAUAAUUUCUUCGAGAUUGACACUCUUUCGACGAUUGUUCGGCCUUCGUCGAAAGAUGAUUAGCGAAUGGAAUAACGGCGGAAGAUUCGAGCCGGCUGUUGAAUUAUUAAAGCGUCCAAAGAGGGAGAAAGAGAACUAAGAGGAUUAAAAGCCUAGAGACAUAUUAGAAUUUCAAGAGGCGAGCCGAUAAAAAUAUUCAAUCGUGGUUAAAUUUACUUUUCGAUGGGUAUCGUUGCGACCUUGAUUUCGAAGAUCUCGUUGACGAUCCCAUCCCAUCUUCCGGCGAUUUCCUCUCGUCUGAUGAUCGAGGAUUAAUUCCAAAUGUGACGACGAAUAUUGUUGAAUUUUGAUAAAAUUUUGGAAGCACAAGAAUCCUAUCGUUUGAUCAAAUUAAUCUUUUGUUAAACGUAUACCGCUUUCCUGGUCCUUAACUCGUAUUCGAAAUACUUGACAACGUCCACUGUCAAACGAGAAAUUACAAGUUAUAGUAAGAUUAUAUCGGUUAACAUUUCGUAAAAAUUCGCUAAUUACACAAAUGAUUCAUAUAAACGUAUCUGGUCAAGUCCAGUAACUGUACCAACAGUGAUUCCACGUACGUCUUAUUCUUUGCCUUUGAUCUAUUUUGUUACUAUCCUUGUUUUACUUUUGUUUCAUCCAACUCCGUACAAUUUUAGAAGUCCACAACAAUGCACCCUUAAGGAUCUACGAAACUGUAAAAAUUAACAUAUUUGUGGUUUUUUGGGUUUCAGUAUAUACGUUUAUCAGUAUAUUGCAUUUGAAAAAAGUUUUCAUUUUCAAGGCUCCCCCGGAUACUGGCCUGGACGUGGAAAAAAACCACAUCAGCGAUCAGCUGACAUCGAAACGGCAUUUUAAACGGCAAGUUGGGCAUCCACUCGAUCGAUGGAUCCUUUCUCUAUGGUCUCUUUAAAUCGACGAAUUGCCAAUAGUCUAGGAAACGUUCACGGCCGAUAGCGGAUUCAAAGCGUAUUCAAAUACGAUUCCGCCUCCUCCAUCCUAGACGCGCGAGCCUUAAUUCUCAAGGCAGAAGCAGCCGACCACCCACUGCUAUUUUGCUUUUCAAAAAUGUACGCGAUGAGCUAAGCGAGACAAAGACAGGCCAGCCACGAUGGAGGAAGAAAACGGAAGCCGUCAAUUACAUAAUGCAUUCGAAUCGUGAUCCAUACGAGUUGCUCGAUCCGUCUCGAUCUCUGGCUGUUGGUACACAAAACGGGGAUCUCGGGGAGCGUGAUGGGCGAUCCUCGAGGUCAUGGUCACGUCGUGUCUCGCAGACGUCAAAUUUAGUCGCCUCUAAAAAACAUUAGUCUUAAAUCUCUUUCUCGCGAAUUUUUUGGAAAUUAUGCAAUCUUUCAGAGCUAUGCAUUAUAAAAAAUUCAUCAAAGAGAUUUGGCUGAAAUGAUAUAUUAUAGUACACAGGCUCGCGGCAGUAUUUCACACCUUUUAUGAAUAUAUUAUGCGAAUUAUACCGAAUACUUUGAAAUUUCAUUGUCAGUAUAAAACGAGACUGCAUUGUCGUGGUUACAGAAUAGGAAGUAUCGGCACACGCAUGACAUUAGUACUAAUUAAUUAUGUAUAUUAAUAUGCACAUGGUAUUUCAUAUGAUUAUAAAAAUUUGAUCAAAAAAUGAGAUGCAUAGAAUCUGAUAGAAGGAACAUUUUGUUGGGAAAUAAUUGUUAAAUAUAAUCUGCGAUAUCAGUGUAACGAGUACAGUUAAUAAGUGUCUUUAAUCGACAAAUGUAAAUGAUGACGACGCGAAACAUUUAUUUCGUGGCAACGAAAAUGAAUUUUCUAUGUAAAAUGAUUUCUAUUUUUGGUUUUGCAACGGGGAAAAAAGUGAAGUAAUUCCAUCUGAAUGUCUGUUGACGCGCAAGGUGGCACGAGCAAAGGAAGCCGACGCUUCCUUUCGCAUCGAUCUGAUGCAACAAAGUUUUACGAUCGUAUACCUGAGUAAUCGAAAAGCUCGAAGGCAUCCACGUGUACCGAAGACAACUAUAUUGACGAUUCGUCGCAAGGUGAAGCGAGCAUGACGAAAAACACAAUUAGCAAGUAUAAUCAGUCGUCAGCUGACCUAUGACAAUCUAAUCUGUCAUCAUUUUAAGGGCAUGGCGCAAUUUGAUAUAAAUUAUCAAAAACACGUGUUAAAUCAUAAUCAAGCCGAAACGAUCAGCAAGUCUAAUAAACUAUCCGACGACCUAUGACAACAUCUGUCAUCUGAGAUAACUUCGUCAACUUUGUAGGCCAAGGAAAAUUUCUGUCGAAAUGUUUCAGUCAUCGCUUAUCGAUUACGCAAGCAGAUCCAUCGAUUUAUUGAUUUUCUAGGAUUAGCGAUGAAAGAAGAGCUUCGUUUCACCUGGAAACUAUCGCGUACAAGACACACAAAUGAUUAUUCAAAAUUCAAAAUUCGAUUGAAACGUUGCGCCUUAUAAUUUACCAAUUAUCUAAGAGAAUUUAUAUAUUUAUCGAUUUUCUAGGAUUAGCGAUAAAAGAAGUGCGUCAGAUUGUUUGGAAAUUAUUGUGAGCACAGAAAGAUAAUUAUGCGUUCAAAAUUUAAUUAAAAUUUCUUUCGAAUCAUCGUCGAUCUAUUUAAGAGAAUUCAUAACUUCCAUCGAUUCUCUAGUGAUUAGUAUACGAUACGAUACUAGGAGCUACAGAGGAGCGUUGUAUAGAAAUAAGAAUUGCGCUGAAUGUAGAAAGAUAGUUGUAUAUGCGAUGUACCACAGAUUGGCCGAUCGACUAAUCGGCAGGAUGACAGGUUGAAGCCACUUCCACUUCCACGCAACAUGGAGUAACUUUGUAACGGAAUGCGAGUUACGGAUAGAAGUUACUCGGCCAUUACGAUGCGCAGUAGGAAGAAAAACAGUAGCGAUCGAGCGUGAUCGGAGAGUCAAUCGAAAGGAGGAAUCGGUCUUCUUCGUUGUUGCAUAAUGUUGAGGCACUGGACGAGAUACGGAGGAGAUAAUUUGAUGAAUGAAUUCGAUAUAAGAAGUCGAGAAUAAUCGAUGAUAUACAAAUUACCUAAACGAAGAUAUAAUUCGUCCUAUAUAUUCUCCAAGUGAACAACAACAAAAUUUCGAUAUUUAAUAAUAUCAAGAUUAAUCAGGACAUAUUAUUAGCGUUUAAUAUGAAGACGAGUGAUAAUCUAUUUACCCCAACUGCGAAAAGAGAAACGAUCGUUUCUGGCAAUAUAUGUAGCAUAUAUCGAUUAAUGGCAAAUAAUAGUUUUGUUGAUAGUGUACAUUUUUAUUAACAUUGGUUUAAUCCAAGGAUAAAACCAUUUAUUAUAGCUAAUUACUGAUUACAUAUUCUGUUUUCAAUUCAUUGAUUUCGUUCUCGAGUGACGAUACAAAAAUUAAUUUAUUUUUUUUUUGAUUGACUGUAACCAGCCAGACACAGACAUUCGACGUAGACAAUCUUUACAUAAUUAUAAUUUUCGCCCAACGCAAUGUCUCGAAUUGAUUGUAUCGCGAACUAUGAAUAUUUGAAAUUCGCUUUGUACCGUCGUAAGACUUUAUCGAGAGUGAAGGUACACGAGUAUAGAAAGAAAAAGUAGCGGGAAAAGUUCUGUACGUGAUGCUUUCAUGAGAAGCAUCAAUGUUCCCCUUAUCAUUGGAAAAUUCAUAAAUAAUUGAUACGAAACGAAGAGGCGACGAUGUUGCAGCGCGUCCCCGAGACUUGCAAUUCGUUUAUUGUUCUGUGCGUGAUGCUUUUAUGAGAAGAAUCAAUGUUCUCCUUAUCGUUGGAAAAUUCAUAAAUAAUUGAUACGAAACGAAGAGGAGACGAUGUUGCAGCGCGUCCCCGAGACUUCAGCUCGUUUAUUGUUCAAUGUGUGAUGCUUUUAUGAGAAGAAUCAAUGUUCUCCUUAUCGUUGGAAAAUUCAUAAAUAAUUGAUACGAAACGAAGAGGCGGCGAAGUUGUAGCGCGUCCCCGAGACUUCCGAUUCCUUUAUUGUUUAUAGAUUUUCCCUGAUUCCACCGCGAUAUAGGCAACCAUAAAUUGCAUCGGCUACGAGUUUUCCAUAAAUUUGAAUAACAUUUUCACUUCCUGCGCUAUCGCGUGGACCCCCCACCUAGCUUAGUUGACGACAAUGCGAGCAACGAUAAGACUGUCACGGUGACCUCGCCCUUAGAAGGAAGGAUUCUGAAUUUUAUUUGACCGAAUCCCGCAUACCAUUAUCGUUCUCGUAUCUAUUAUUCCUUGCCUUUCCCUAUCCGUCAUUGCUAUCUUCUCCGUUUCUUUUUAUUCCGAUCUGUUCUAAAUUGACCAAUUGAUUUUAAUCAUUUUCUCAUCCACCGACGAUUCAUCGAUUCUUCCGUUUUUACUCUUGUUCUUACUUUUUCGUUUUUAGAUAUAUAUUAGGUUAUAUAAGAUCUAAUUAAUCAACGACGCACAGUAGGUACAGCAAGUGUUUGCACUUAUCUUUAUUUCUCAAUAAAAUGUAUUUUUGUCAGCUUCUACAUUCCCUUUUCGCACAUGAUACCAAAUUUUUAUCCUCGUAUAAAAGUAUUAACAAAUGGUGUGAAAUUUAUGAUACUUUGCCCUAGUUAAAUAAUAUACAUUGCAACACUUUCUACAAUUAUUUUUCGUAUGUAUUAUUUUCUUAUAUCGUCCUUCGUAAAUGGAUGAAGUAACUUGUAUACCCAUCACUUCAAAUCUUUUGUCCUUUAGGAAAUAUAUAAUUAUUACUUGUGAAAAAAAUGUUGUAAAUAUCGAAACGAUUAAUAUGCCGGUGUUAAUUAUAUAUUUUAAUUACAUCCGGAUCCAUUCUUAGAAUCUCAGAAAACUGAGGAACUUGAUUUAUCUAUGUGUCUAUUAACCUUUUUUGAACCCUAUUAUACUUUUCCAAUUAAGGGACAACCUGAUUAAUAGGUUAACACAUACAAGUGCAAAGGUAUGGAAUGUUAAACGAUGACUUGUAGAAACUGUUCGAUGACCAGAUGUGUACAAUUCCAAGUCCUAAUUCGAGGAAUGCAUUUUUUUUUUUUUACCGCUGCUACUGUCAGCAAAUAACAGGAUCGCCGAUCGUUUGGUGUCAGUUUCCUUCUGCAAAUAAUCUUCUGUUUCUUCAGGUGUUUAUAACCCCACAAUAUCGAGUGUCACGAAUGAUCGAAAGCCUGGAAUUCUUCAUUUUGAUCGGCAACUUCGUUCAAAUUAAAAUCCAUCUCCAUGGAUGAAACAACAAUAUACAUCUUAAUCACGUUAGAUCAUUGAUCGUCCACGAUUAAAGUAAUUGCGAUACGCACUUUUUACUUUUUAAUUGAAUUUUUUGCACAAUCGAAUAGCUUCGCUUUUACGACAGGCAAGAUAAUUUUGUUAUUCUCGUUUUCCAAUGUUUCUUACCAUUCCCUUUUAUAUUAUUCGAUAUUCCGAUGUAAUCGAUCCUUUAAUCGCACAACUUUCCAAAGAUUGCAACAUCAAAGAAGGAGGAUAAAAAAACAAAAAGAGUGCAUUAUUGAAUCGACGCAUUAUUGAAUGGAUCGUGUUUCGUAAUUCGAUCGGGGACUUUCCAUGGUUCCUGGUAAACGAAUUUGGAAAGUAGACGCGUUCCUCGAAAUCACGCGGAAACGACCAUAAAACUGAGGCACGUCCCGUUUCGCAUUCUAAUCGAUGUCUUGACGAAAUUCUACGGCGCAUCGAGUGGGCAGAUUUGAAAGUCGAUGGCGGAGAAAAAUCUGCGAAACACGUGGAUCACCUUUUGCCCCUUCUGUUCAAUCUCACCUUUCUCCAUCCUUCUCUCCUCGAUAUUUCGCCAUUUCUCUUUCUUCAUUGUUACUUGUUGGCGUAGCAAGAAAUUUCGUUUGCUUCAGAAACUAGCAUUCAUCGAGAUUGAAUUUGAAUAUCAUUCGUCAGUCAGUUGAACUCAAAGUAUCAUCCCUUACAUUGUGACGUAAAUUCUUCCUGCUUCUAUAUUGACCACAAUGUAUGUGAUACAUUUAUUGUAAUUUAUCACAGCGUAAUUACAUCAAUUAGUCAUUCAUCGCUGCACAAGAACGAGAAAUUCUAAAAAGUUCGUUAAUUUACAUCGAUUUACGUUAAUCUGCAUAAAUGAAUUUUCUAGAAUUUCUCCUUCUGUUUUUCUUUACUUCUCACACGCCUUCUUUGCGAUAUCUGUGUCGUUCAGAUUAUUCUGGAAAAAUAAACAUCAAUCGUUAGUAAUUUCUAUUUCAAAGAAACGACUACCUUCGGAUAGAAUUCCUUAAUUUUAACUUCGUUCGUUUCAAAAUCCCUGUUAUUUGUUUUAAUUAUCUCGCAAGAAACAGUCAAGAAAAUAGAUAUUAAUAAGUGGUGAUUUCAAUUUCAAUACAGAUGCAAUUUUUAUUUGUUCCUCAAAAAAUCUCUUAUUCGUUCUUGCUGUUAUCUUAAAAGAAAAAUAAAAGAGAAAAAAUUAGAAAUUAAUAAUUCUACUCCUAUUGAAACGAUCUUAAUAACAAGCAUACGAUUACUUUCACGAUGUAGCAUAUUUAGACAUCGACAUACACUUUCUGUUUCACUUUGCGAGUUGUCCCGUUUCGCAGCGGAUGUUCGAAAAGUUUCUAAUGAUUAACGUUCGCGUGAAAUCGGACAGAAAGCUGACAGUCGGUUCUAGUUUACUUAUUUAGGGGUAGACGAUUUUAACGGUGCAUGUCGCAUUUAAAUAUCAGAUGUAAAAGGAAACACGUGAAUCACCUUUGCCAGUUCCCCACCACCUGCUUCGGCUGCCCCUUCCCAGGCUUUUCUCCUGCCAUUUCUCUUUCUUCGCGACCCGUGUUUAUACAGCGACGCACGUUUCCUCAGUAUGGAUCACUUACGUGUUCGAAUUGCGAUUGUUCUCGGUAUCUCGGGUUUAAAAAAGCGUCAUUCGUAUUCAAACAAUGUCACGAAGGCUAGAAGGUUCGAUUAGAAAUUUGAUAUUAUCCGUGUACACGACGAAUUUUCGCAUUGAUAACACAAUCGUAUCAAUUCUUGCUGAAUUUUCGAAAAAAUCUGAUACGUCGUCAAACUUUUAGCUUAUGAUCGUUUUAUUCGAGCCACUGGCUAUAAAAUCAUUCAUUUUCGAGUACACACAUUUGUCUUUUAUUGUUAAAGAAAUCCGAAUUUUUAUUCCAUUGCUGCGAUCUAAUUUUAAAAGCCGCGAAAUUUGAGUUUGCGAAGAAGCUUCGGAAUUUUAGGAACUGCAACUGUUCCUGAAAUUCCACAGGGCGAUUAAAUAAAUUGUCACGAUGCAAUAAUUUAAUAAAUAUAAUUAACGGGUGAUCAGAAAGAUUGUACCUCUGUGCAAAAGACAAAAACACGAAUGUCUAUAGUUGAAGGAUUAAUUAGUAUCAACUGCAUAAAUUCAACAUAACGAUAUAUCGAUGCAACAAACAUUAUAACGCGAUAGAUGUUAUUUUAUUAAAUUUAUUUUAGAAUUUACUAUUAUCUAAAUCAUAGUCUUACGACAGAUAAUCUUGUAAAAGUAAGUCGCUGGUCUUUUAAGAAAUCAAACACCAACCACCUUUCUAAAUAAUGAUACUAUACAAAAACUUAUAAAACUUAUAAAAAGUGGAAUUAGUCAUUUUGGAAGCGUCCUCCUAAAAGCGUCAAUCGUAGACGAAUAAAAAUCUUUUUCUAAUACUUUCCUGUAAAUGACUUCUAUUCUAUAACGCAGGCUUUUUCAUAGACAUAUCAGUUGUCAGCCGGCCAAGACAUCAUGAUUCACAGAUCCAGGUCAGCAAAACAAAAUCGAUCCAGUGAUUUGCCGGUAAAGAAUUAGCAUACGCACGUAACCGAUCGUACUUCUCAUCUGGGUUCUUUGCCUAAACUUCGGUCCCGUCAUUGUCCCGGAAUUUCCCGUUAUUUUUUAUUCCCUUUCCGCUCGAUAGCGGAACCCGACGUUUCAGUGAACUUCAUGAAAUAUUACGGUGUUUUAUUUCGGUAUUUUGCUCUUUUAAACUUUCAUGUCCCUCGAAAAAUCACAAUAUCUCCGCACCUUGACGCGCUUCGCUAGCGAAAGACGAGUAUUAUAUUAUUAUUUCCUCCCAUUUUGCAUUUACUGGUUGCAAAAGAUUUAGAUGAUCCCGUUAUCGACAAUUUGUCGAUUUUAGGAGUUACGAUUUUCUAUUUUUCGAAGGAAAAUCCGCGCAAAUUAGGAUCGAUACGAGUUAGAAGAAAUUUCGUGUUGUAUCUUGUGGUUACCUUCAGAGCCAUGGUCUUGAAUAUUUCAUAUUCGUAUCGAUAUUAGCUACAAUUCGUACGGAGAAGGUUUUGAACAUGCCUGUGCGCCGAGUAAGGCCAACAACUUUUUGCGACUCGCCGAAGCUUUCAUUUUGUCGAAUCAAAGAGCGGGCUCAUCAAAUUUGAAUUUUAUUAUAGGGUCAUUCGUUAGCUGGAACAUCCACAACCACGAUAAGGCUAAGAACACGCGGUUCCCUUCAAAUUCUAAACCAAUAAAACUAAAAAAUCAUCAUACUUUUAUAGUUCAAAAAUUGACGUGUACAACCAAAAUGUCUAGGUUUGUCUUUUUACAUGCAAAUGAGCCUCUUGACUGAAAAGCUGGACUGAUCGACUCUGCUUUUUGUAAGAUUUUCAAUCUAAAAUAAAUUAUUUAAUUAGCGUAGACUCUCCAAGGAAAUGUUUAAAAUAAUUGUAAUAUUCCAUACUCUAUACAUUUUUCUUUACUUUUUGCAAUUUGUACGGAAACUUGAAGAUGCAGAAAUGCACACAAUACAAAAAUAUAUGAAAUUUCCAGAGUGCAGUAUCUGUUUUGAUAUUGGGUAAGUAAAAUAAAUUUCUGUCCAGGUCCCAUUUUUCAAAUUUUAUUCGUAAAAAAUAUAAAUUUGCAUAAAUAUUUGCGUCAGAAUCGUGGCUUCUGCGCGGUUUGAUGGUUCUUUCGCAAUAGAUUGUUUUGAUCGAAAAGCUUGAAACAUACGGAAUUGCGCAGAACCAAAACAAAAUCAAAAUUCAGGAGCUGUCCGGGUUGAGCGAUGUCAGUGGAGCAAAAAGAAAGUACCGCUAUUCUUAGGCCUGCGUGAUCCUUAUCUGUAUCAGUAAUGCCCUUCAUCGUUGAAUUCCACGAUCGCUGAAAACCGUAACUUUUGGAAAAUGGGAGCAGCCAUGUGCCACGAGGAAUGGGAACGUAAACAACUCUGGCGAGCUAAUGGUGCUAGAGAAUGCUCAUUCCUCGAGGAACAGAAAACGUUUUAGACACGCCACUGAGAGACAUCGUUUUGCGAUGUCCUUCCUUUGUUUCUUUUUUUUCUGUGCCAAGUUUCUUCAUUUUUUUGACAAAUGAUUGGUAACUUUAAUAAAUUAUAUCCUUCAUGUGUAAAAUAGCAAAUCAAUGAAUAAUGACGAUCUUUAUGU